GACGAACGCUGGCGGCGUGCCUAAUACAUGCAAGUCGAACGCAGUGGGGACGGGUGAGUAACACGUGGGUAACCUCCCAUCAGAGGGGAUAACACUUGCAAACAGGUGCUAAACCGAUACUGCGGGCUGGACCCGCGGUGCAUUAGCUAGUUGGGGAGGUAACGGCUCACAAAGGACACGAUGCAUAGACGACCUGAGAGGGGGAUCUGCAACAAUUGGACUGAGAAACGGCCAGGACUCCUACGGGAGUGAGCAGUAGGGAAUCUUCGGCAAUGGACGAAAGUCUGACCGAGCAACGCUGCGUGAGUGAAGAAGGUUUUCGGAUCGUAAAACUCUGUUUUUAGAGAAGCGGUAUCUAACCAGAAAGCCACGGCUAACUACGUGCCAGCCGCCGCGGUAAUAC
rnacentral:rRNA from 1 species